UACGUAGGGGGCAAGCGUUGUCCGGAUUUAUUGGGCGUAAAGAGCGUGUAGGCGGCCAGGUAGGUCAGCUGUGAAAACUCGAGGCUCAACCUCGAGACGCCGGUUGAAACCAUCUGGCUAGAGUCCGGAAGAGGAGAGUGGAAUUCCUGGUGUAGCGGUGAAAUGCGCAGAUAUCCGGAGGAACACCGGUGGCGAAGGCGGCUUCCUGGACCGACACUGACGCUGAGGCGCGAAAGCUAGGGGAGCAAACGGG
rnacentral:rRNA from 1 species